rnacentral:tRNA from 1 species
CCAGGUGUGGUUCAGCGGGACAGUGCUGGCCCAGUGUGAGCGAGACCCUGGGUUCCAUCCCCAGCACCAGGA